GUCAUUUUUGUGGUUUGCAGCU
rnacentral:miRNA from 3 species